rnacentral:lncRNA from 1 species
GCCCCCGGCGCCGCGGCCGCGGGGGGCGGGCGUCAAGCGGGUGCCCGGGGCCGCGGGGGUGGAGAGGAGCACGCGAGGCGCGGGGGCGUCCGGAGAGCGGGCGGGGGCAGGUCCCAGCGUCUCGGGGGGCCCGGGACUGGGCUCUGGGGGCCCAAGCUUUCCUGGACGCCCCAGGCCAUCAGCGGCGGGGGCGUGGCGGGGGACAGGCAGGAAGCCGGGCCUGGAGGCUGGCUUCUUUGCCGCGUGACCUUGGGGAGAGGCGCCUCCGGCCGCAGCUCCGCGGGUGUGUUUUUAUAACGUUUCCCAGCGUCGGCUCAGCUCCCUGCGAGCCGCGCCACGCCCCGUCCAGCCGGAGCCGAAGGAAUGACUGCCCCCGGGUCAGACACCGGGGCCCGCAAGGAGGAAGAGGCGGUUGGUUUCAAUACCGCGCAGCCGGCCCAGCCCAUGAGGCCUCGAGCAGCCUCAGUUUCCCUGUCCGUGGUGCUGAGGACGCCGGGGCCUGGAUGCGCGGGGCGGGCGGGGCGGCAUCCCGGUCGCUGCCCGGGACACUGGCCAAAGGGCACAGGGGGUGGAGCGGCGACAGGCAGGAGGGAUGAAGGAGAAGGAGGAAGCCGCCCUUGGAAGAUCCGCUGGGUCCUGGGAGGCUGUGGCCCGACUCUCCUCCCCCAGCCCCGCUGCCUGGGCCAAGGUGCUGUCCUCGGUGCCUGCACGUUGUAGGUGCGUCCAUGAGUGGAUGGACGGAUUGAAGAUUCCCGAGGUGGUGGCGCCAUACGACCCGAGUUCUAAUCCCAGUCCCACCCCUUAUUUGCUACUUGACGCCGGACAGGCGAUUCUUCUCUCUGUGCCUCGGUUCCUUGCCUGUAAAACGGGGACAAUGGAGAUGCAAGGUGAAGACAACAGCAUCACGAGAAGGAGAGAGCCUGCAUCCCAGAAUUACCCAGUGGAGGAGAGAUGCCUGACCAGGAAUGUCUACAAGGAUUUUGUGUGAGCCAGAAGCAAAGCUUUAAGUGUUCAGCUGCUGAGACUGGGGGCUAUUUGUUAUAGCAGCUGGCCUAGCCUAACACAUCACUCCCUUCC